GCCGGGUUGGAGAUUCCACCUCCGAAGUUUUCUUUCUGACUUUUGAUUUUACAUUCCUAGUACAGUGGAGAAGCCCAGGCGGCCUAGAAUCCAGUGUCGUCCGUGAGUGCUUGGCUGGUGUUCAAGUGCAUCUUCCAGCCUGAGACCGCGUGGACUCGCUCAUCGUGAGGGCGAGAGGAGGAUAAGCCCAUUGGGCUGUCGGCUGAGAGUGAGACCAUCCACAAUAUUGUUUGAACAUCUGAAGACAUGGGGAACUUGCCAUCUGAUAUCUGAUAACAGACUUCCUGUAAAGCAGGACUGGUAGUUUCCUGAUAACAAAUUCUUCAAUAUGAAGGAUAUAGCUGUGUCCUUUACAACUGGUAGCAUGGAAAGAAAGAGAAGUCUGCAAAGAUUGAACAAACAGCAUGCACUGUGGUAUCCUUUAUUUAAAAAUUGUGAGCUGACUACAGUUGUAGUGUUCUCAUUUACCAUUCUGAUGGCAUAAUAAACCAAGAGAACAUUAACACAAUUCCAAGAAGGCAUUAACCUGUAACACACAUAUACGCCACACAUGCACACACACAACAUACACGCACACAAAGGUUAUAUUCUGAACACAAAAGUGAUAGAAAAAAGCUUUGAAUGCGCUAAAUCAAAUAAAAACCCUUUAUUAUAAUAAACUGUGGCAAUACUGUGGCUAUCAUGAAAAAUAUUG
rnacentral:lncRNA from 10 species